CACAUUCUUUCUCUUUCCAGAUGAGUUGGUCCUCCACUAACUAGAAUCCUUCGAAGUAUUCUGGGUAUUCUGUAUAUAGAUUAAAGUUCCAUCACUCGGCUUACACCCUCCCUCAGGGUCCCUCCUCCCUCGACCCGUUGAUCGUUCUUGUUUUUCCAUGGGGUUUUUUUUCAUUUUUAUUUUUUUUUAGGGGUUUUUGUUCAUUGUCAAAAAUCUUCGAAGGUAUCAUAUCGGACAUAGUUGCUUGGAACUUCCUUGGCCUUUUCAUUCUGAGUCGUAGGAGACGGUGGAAGUGUUUCCUUUUCUCUCUCUGGAUUAAGGAAUGGGAAGAAUAUUUAAGUUAUUAUGGCUGGAAGGGCAUGGAUGCGGUUGACGCGAGGAACUGGUCGGGACUGUCCGUCUGUGUGUCUAGCAUGAUCGG
rnacentral:sRNA from 2 species